rnacentral:lncRNA from 1 species
AAAUUCAGAGUUAUGGUCUACUUUCACAGGAACAGAUCAGUCGGUCUGAAGAGGGCCCCAGGUGGUCCACGCACCACACUUUGCUGGACACUGUUCUAAUGUGUUGGUGAAUCAUACCUAGAAAUGGCUGUUGUGAAUUCUGGACGUGGAGCCUCUUUGGGAUCUUGGACCUCUCUUUUUGCAUAAUUGGGAAUCACACCUUACUGCAGAGCCUGGCCUGAUGUAAUGGCAGUUUGACAAGUGUCUUAUUCUGUUUGGGCUGCUGUCACAAGAUACCACCAACUGGGUAGCUCAUAAACCACAGACAUUGACUUCUCACCGUUCCGGAGACUGGAAGCCUGAGAUCCGUGUAUCAGCGUGGCCAGGUAAGGGCCAUCUUCUGGGUGCAGACUUCUUUUUGGAUCUUCACAUACUGGAAGGGAUGAGCUGGCUCUCCAGGGCGUGCUUAAUAAGAGUAUCAAUCCCAUUCCUGUGGGCUCUGCCCUCACGACCUCAUCACCUCCCAAAGGCCCCACCCCCUAAUGCUAUCACCUUGGGAAUUAGAUUUUCAACAUAGGAAUGUGGGGGGCGGGGGCAUAGACAUUUAGACCACAGCAGUAAGUUAUCCUGAGGUGGGGUUGGUGGCAUGAGAAGGUUUUUAGUGAUUGGAUUAUGAACAGUUCACUAAAACUCAGGGCCUUGGAGAGUUAGCAGUGGUGCCCAUGGAGGGAGGCUUUCAGGCCCUAAUUCAGCCCAACACUGGAUUGGGAAUGGUAGUGAAGAACUAGCAUAGACAAAUGGGAACACAGGGUCUCAGGCUGACUGAGGCCCACACUUAGGGAAGCAGAGGAUGGCCACAGAUGCCUUGUGAGAAGUUUAUGGCAAUUCUCAGUUCUCUGACAGCGGUAAUAACCCUCCUGAUCUAUGCCCAGCUGCCCAAAGCAUCCAUCCAGAUGUGUGCUCCAGCAUUUGGCUCACUUGUUAAGCUUCUUCCCAUUAACUGCACAGUCUCUGC